CCUACGGGGGGCGGCAGUAGGGAAUUUUCGGCAAUGGACGAAAGUCUGACCGAGCAAUGCCGCGUGAACGAUGAAGGUCUUCGGAUUGUAAAGUUCUGUUGUUAGGGAAGAAUAGUAUAACUAGGAAAUGAGUUAUAUUUGACGGUACCUUACUAGAAAGCUCCGGCUAACUAUGUGCCAGCAGCCCCGGUC
rnacentral:rRNA from 1 species